CUUUGGUAUCAUCAGGGUUAAUGUUUGCAUCCUCUGUGCUGAAAUUAAGGAUGUUGGGAAAGAAGUGUCAUUGCUUUGCCUACUAAAUGUCUCUUGAGUAUGCUUAGCUUUCAUCCAUAAGAGAGCCGAACUUCCCUUGUGAUGAUUAAAAAAAAAAAGACAAAAACUCACUGCUGAUUCUUUCAUCUCUGCAAAAGCAGGUGGGAACUGCAAAGAGAUUUGCUUAUCUUGCUCAGUCAAGGGCUGGUAAAAGUUUGGUAAGCAGACCUGGUAGCUGGUGUCCCCUUCCACAGUUCAUUUUCAUCCUUCUGAAUUCUUGAUUCCCAUAGAAGAAGCCAUCCUCAGAAGCCAGCCUCUUGGGAUUUUCCUUUUGUUUCUCCAAGAUUAACCAGUUCUGUCCUGUCAGCAGGAGCAGGCAACUAGGGAAGGAGAGGCUCUUCAGGGCUUUCAGCAUUUUUCCAAGGAGUGCUUUUCUCCCUCAAUUCCUCACUGGUAGUGAAGCUGCUUUCUUGUAACGUCUUCCUCUUCUUCUGAUGAGAUGCUGAUUCUGAUUGCCAUCUAGCAGCUUCCGGUGGUGGUAAGUGGUCAAGAGUGUUUUUCCGGGACUUGAUCUCAGGUUUUCAAGAAUACCCCCUAGAGACCCAGUCUGUGUUCUGUAUCAUCGCUCGAGCUUUCAGAGUAGCCUUGCUUUUCCCCUUGACAUGGUCAUGUUUGAUCUUCCUGCACUGCUGGGAAAUCUUCCUUUUGGGGGAGAGGAUUAGGUCUGGGUUGAGAUCUUUACUGUUCCAAAAGUUCAGCGAAAGAUGACUUUUUCUUUACUCCGACAACCUUUAGAGGUGGAGCGAGUAUCAGUGGUGGUAUUUCGGUGAGUUGAUAAAUUUGCAAGAAUGACAGAACUAAAUGUUGCUUCUAGAGUUAAACUAGAAUCUGCUACAUUACUAUGAGUCCUCCGUAAAGUAUACCUGAUUGUCAUUGCUACUAGAAAAAGACUGGAUUUGAGGAAACAUGGACUUGAAUGUCAAUUCUUAUUUUUUCGAUGUUACUUUAUGUUUUAGAGAGUGACAACACUUGACUAGGAUCAUUAAUAAGAAACAACUUCUGGAAAUCUUAGAGAAAUAUUGUUUAUUUCAUGCAAUAGUGAUUAUAUAAUUCCCAUGACAGAAUAUUUUCUACACAAGGAAAAAUGGCUAAAAUU
rnacentral:lncRNA from 1 species